rnacentral:rRNA from 1 species
CGUGCAAAUCGAAUCUUAUUAAAAUUUUUAUUUAGCUUAAUAAAAUAGGAGAACCAUCUUUAAAAUAAAAUGUAAAAGUAUUAAUGUUAAUGAAAUUAUUAUAAAGCUUAUAGUUAAAAGUACUGUAAAGGACAAUUGAAAGAAAAGAAAAUUAUUAAAAAGAAGAUAUUAAAAAUCGUACCUUGUGUAUCAGGGUUAAGUAAAAUUCCAUUAAAAUAAGUGAGUCCCGAAAUUGAGCGAGUAAUGUUUUUAAUAAAUUGGUUGUAUCAAAAACCUUUUGAAUAUAAACAUGGGGUGAAAGGCCAUUCGAGCUUUUUUAUCUGGUUUCAUGAAAAAUGAAUUCAAUUCAGUUAAUUUUAGUUUAAUAUUAUGUUUAAAAAUACUAAUUAAAAUUAAUAAAGUUUUAGAGGGAUGAGCUUCUAUGACAAUUGGUAUAAUAAAAUUAUUAUAAGAAAUGAGUUUAGGUUUAAUAAUGACCUUAAAUAUAAAGUUUGUUAUAAUUUACAUUUUUUAAAAAAAUAUUUUUAUUUAUUUGCCUUUUUAUCAUGAUAUUGAAAUUAAUAUAAGAUUUUAAGUAAUAAUGCUUAAAUUAGUAGAGUAAUCAUGUUCACUUAACCUAUUAAAUUAAUGUAAAAUUUUAUUAGAUUAUAGGUAUUUUGAAGGAAUUCGGCAAAUACAUUUUCCGCAUGUUUAUCAAAAACAUCUCUUUUUGACGUAUAAAAAGUACCGCCUGCUCAAUGCAAUUUGUAAAUAGCCGCAGUAUUCUGACUGUGCUAAGGUAGCAUAAUCAUUAGUCUUUUAAUUGAAGGCUGGUAUGAAUGGCGAGACGAGAAAAUAGCUGUCUCCAAAAUAAAUUUUGAAUUUUAUUUCUAAGUGAAAAAGCUUAGAUAAUUUUAAAGGACGAUCAGACCCUUUGGAGCUUUAUUUAUUCUAAAUUUUAAUUUAUUUUAGAUUAUUGAAUGAAUAAUAAAUUUUGUUGGGGCGACGGAGAGUAAUAAAUAUCACUCUUUUUUUUAAACAAUUAUAAUUGAAAAAUUGAUCCUUAAAGUGAGAUUUAAAGACUAAGUUACCCUAGGGAUAACAGCGUAAUCUUCUUGGAGAGUUCAAAUCGAUAAGAAGGUUUGCGACCUCGAUGUUGGAUUAAGAGAUUGGCAAGGUGCAGAAGUUUUGUUAAAAAGUCUGUUCGACUUUUAAUCUCUUACAUGAUCUGAGUUCAAACCGGCGUAAGCCAGGUUGGUUUCUAUCCUUAAAAUUAUUUUAGUCCCCUUAGUACGAAAGGAUUGGGGGGUUGAGAUUAUUCUUUAAAUUAAGAAAUAAAUUAAAAUUUUUAAAUAAUUGUGUUAGUCUGACAGAUAAUGUAUUAGAC